UGUGGUUUAAUUCGACGCAACGCGCAGAGCCUUACCUGGUCUUGACAUCUACGGAACCCUCCCGAAAAGGAGGGGUGCCUUUCGGGAGCCGUAAGACAGGUGGUGCAUGGUUGUCGUCAGCUCGUGUCGUGAGAUGUUGGGUUAAGUCCCGCAACGAGCGCAACCCCUAUUGUUAGUUGCCAUCAUUCAGUCGGGCACUCUAGCGAGACUGCCGGUAAUAAACCGGAGGAAGUGGGGAUGACGUCAAAUCAUCAUGCCCCUUAUGACCUGGGCUACACACGUGCUACAAUGGUUGGUACAACGAGUUGCGAGUCGGUGACGGCGAGCUAAUCUCUUAAAGCCAAUCUCAGUUCGGAUUGUAGGCUGCAACUCGCCUACAUGAAGUCGGAAUCGCUAGUAAUCGCGGAUCAGCACGCCGCGGUGAAUACGUUCCCGGGCCUU
rnacentral:rRNA from 1 species